AAAUAGUACUUUGCAGAGAGAGUUAACAGGGCGUGAAACCGUUAAUUGGCAAACGAAUCGGAGCCACGAAGUCGUUUCGCUGAGCUGGGUUGAGUUCAGCCUAGAACCGCGUGUUUUAGGUGUACUCUUGGCCUGGCCGUUGUAAGCGUACACUGCAACCAGUUAGACGAUUGGGGAUGGGCCCAGUUGCUCGAGUUAGUAGUAGUAUGGGCGCGCUUCGGUGUUCUUGUAUUGCUGGGCUCGUGGCAAGUGAGCUAUCCCCAAAUACUGACUGGCAAAAUGAAAAUCGCGCGUCAAGCGCGUUUCACAAAAAGCUGCUGCGCCUAUGGCCAUCUACGCAGCCGACCAUGGGGUUUUUAAGCUCGGCAUUCUUGAAUUUAGGCUUGCUUGCUACCGGUGGGGCAACUCCCGGUGCUUGUAUAGUUUCUAUCUAAUCGGGUGUUGACUUGAUUCUGUGUAGUUCGGUUGUGCUAUGAUUGGGUGGUGAUAGGACGUAGUUUGCAAUUAUUGGCAGUGAGUAGGUCGGCUUUCCGAACGACCCGUCUUGAAACACGGACCAAGGAGUCUAAUUAGGCAUCAAGUCGAUCGGUCUUGAAUAGGCCAGACUUGGGGUUUCCCUCAGAUUGAAGGCGUAGAGACAUGUGAUCGUUUGGGCAAUUCCAGUCCUUUCGCGCAACAUGUGCCUGUUCGUAUAGCAAUGUAGCAAUAAUGCUGGGCGGAGCAAAGAGAUGUCUGAUUGGUACCCGAAAGAUGGUGAUGCCUGGGCAAGUUGAAGCCAGAGGAAACUCUGGUGGAGGACUGUAGCGAUUCUGACGUGCAAAUCGAUCGUCAGACCUGGGUAUAGGGGCGAAAGACUAAUCGAACCAUC
rnacentral:rRNA from 4 species